GACUGGGGUGUUACAUCUGUCAAAUGGUAAUGCAGGUGUCCCAAAGUAAGCUCAGUGUGGAUGGAGACCACAUGUUGAGCAAAAAGGCAAAAGCUCACUUGAUCUCUGUUUUCCCAUCAAGUGUGU
rnacentral:ncRNA from 1 species